GUUUGUUAGGUCUAGUGGUUAAGGCACCAGUCUCGAAAGCCGGAAACUAUGAGUUCAAGUCUUACUGUCAACU
rnacentral:tRNA from 1 species